AGAAUCAACGCUGGCGGCGUGCCUAACACAUGCAAGUCGCACGAGAAAGGGGACUUCGGUCCCUGAGUACAGUGGCGCACGGGUGAGUAACACGUGAAUCAUCUACCUUCGAGUGGGGAAUAACUGAGAGAAAUCUUAGCUAAUACCGCAUAAUACCUACGGGUCAAAGCAGCAAUGCGCUUGAAGAGGAGUUCGCGGCAGAUUAGUUAGUUGGCGGGGUAAUGGCCCACAAGACGAUGAUCUGUA
rnacentral:rRNA from 1 species